rnacentral:rRNA from 1 species
CGUGUAGGCGGCUUGGUAAGUCAGAUGUGAAAGCCCAGGGCUCAACCCUGGAAGUGCAUUUGAUACUGCCAUGCUUGAGUAUGGGAGAGGAGAGCGGAAUUCCCAGUGUAGAGGUGAAAUUCGUAGAUAUUGGGAGGAACACCCGUGGCGAAGGCGGCUCUCUGGACCAAUACUGACGCUGAGACGCGAAAGCGUGGGGAGCAAACCGGAUUAGAUACCCGAGUAGUCC